AUACGGAGGAUCCGAGCGUUAUCCGGAUUUAUUGGGUUUAAAGGGAGCGUAGAUGGGUUGUUAAGUCAGUUGUGAAAGUUUGCGGCUCAACCGUAAAAUUGCAAUUGAUACUGGCAGCCUUGAGUACAGUUGAGGUAGGCGGAAUUCGUGGUGUAGCGGUGAAAUGCUUAGAUAUCACGAAGAACUCCGAUUGCGAAGGCAGCCUACUAAACUGCCACUGACAUUGAUGCUCGAAAGUGUGGGUAUCAAACAGGAUUAGAUACCCUGGUAGUCCACACGGUAAACGAUGAAUACUCGCUGUUUGCGAUAUACAGCAAGCGGCCAAGCGAAAGCGUUAAGUAUUCCACCUGGGGAGUACGCCGGCAACGGUGAAACUCAAAUGAAUUGACGGGG
rnacentral:rRNA from 1 species